rnacentral:rRNA from 1 species
GACGAACGCUGGCGGCGUGCUUAACACAUGCAAGUCGAACGGUAAGGCCCCUUCGGGGGUACACGAGUGGCGAACGGGUGAGUAACACGUGGGUGAUCUGCCCUGCUCUCUGGGAUAGGCCUGGGAAACUGGGUCUAAUACCGGAUAUGACCUCCUGUCGCCUGGCGGGGGUUGGAAAGGCUUACUGGUGCAGGAGGGGCCCGCGGCCUAUCAGCUUGUUGGUGGGGUAAUGGCCUGCCAAGGCGACGACGGGUAGCCGGCCUGAGAGGGCGACCGGCCACACUGGGACUGAGACACGGCCCAGACUCCUACGGGAGGCAGCAGUGGGGAAUAUUGCACAAUGGGCGAAAGCCUGAUGCAGCGACGCCGCGUGAGGGAUGACGGCCUUCGGGUUGUAAACCUCUUUCAGCAGGGACGAAGCGAGAGUGACGGUACCUGCAGAAGAAGCACCGGCCAACUACGUGCCAGCCGCCGCGGUAAGAC